rnacentral:rRNA from 1 species
UAGGGAAUAUUAGAAAUGGACGAAAGUCUGAUCUAGCAACACCGCGUGUGCGAAGAAGGCCUUCGGGUCGUAAAGCACUUUUUGGAAGGAAUAGGAAGGAAUGUACUUCCAGAAUAAGUCUCGGCUAACUACGUUCCAGCAGCCGCGGUAACACGUAGGAGGCGAACGUUAUCCGGAUUUACUGGGCGUAAAGCGCGUGUAGGUGGUUCUGUAAGUAGGGCGUGAAAGCUCCUGGCUCAACUGGGGGAGGCCGUUCUAAACUACAGAACUAGAGGAUGGUAGAGGGAGGUGGAAUUCCAGGUGUAGCGGUGGAAUGCGCAGAUAUCUGGAGGAACACCAGUGGCGAAGGCGGCCUCCUGGACCAUUCCUGACACUCAGACGCGAAAGCUAGGGUAGCAAACG